rnacentral:lncRNA from 1 species
GACCAGGCUGAUCAGGGAAGCAGCUUUCAAAGCAUCCCCAGAACUGGGCUCCAAAUUCCUGCUGAAUCAGAAUCCCAGAAAGAAAAGCCCUGAAGUACCCCUUCGAAUCAGCUUGCGGAAAACUGUAACACAAAGGCUUUGUGGAUCACGUUUUAUACUUUUACUAUGUACUGUACACGCCAUUGUCAAGGGACUGCCUACUGUACAAUCUGCAGGGAAUGGGAAUGUGAGAAUGGGAUAGCUGCUCGCGCUUUCCCUUUGUUUUAAACCUUCUAAUCCU